UGGGGAAUCUUCCGCAAUGGACGAAAGUCUGACGGAGCAACGCCGCGUGAGUGAAGACGGCCUUCGGGUUGUAAAGCUCUGUGAUCCGGGACGAAAGAGCCUGAGGUAAAUAGCCUAAGGAAGUGACGGUACCGGAAAAGCAAGCCACGGCUAACUACGUGCCAGCAGCCGCGGUAAUACGUAAGUGGCAAGCGUUGUCCGGAAUUAUUGGGCGUAAAGCGCGCGCAGGCGGCUUCCUAAGUCCAUCUUAAAAGUGCGGGGCUUAACCCCGUGAUGGGAUGGAAACUGGGAAGCUGGAGUAUCGGAGAGGAAAGUGGAAUUCCUAGUGUAGCGGUGAAAUGCGUAGAGAUUAGGAAGAACACCGGUGGCGAAGGCGACUUUCUGGACGAAAACUGACGCUGAGGCGCGAAAGCGUGGGGAGCAAACAGG
rnacentral:rRNA from 1 species